GGUUGAGCUGCUCAUUUGAUGAUCAUUUAGCUGACCAGCGGAGGAUUCAUCAUCCCUGUUUCCUGUCUCUCUGUCCUUCCUGAGACCCUCUCUGACUCUCAGACUUACACUUUACUCAAUCUCUAAACUUUGGCCUAUGACCUAUGACCUUUGACCUAUUUGCCCCAGGACAAGAGGGACCACUCAGCACUUUAGAACUCCCCCACCCUCCUCCAGUGUUGAGAGGAUCUCAGCAGAGGAGAGGUCAGACGUGCUUUUGUAAGACUAGAAGAAUCCAGCCCUGGUGUCUAUCGUGAAGUGUCUUGAAGUAUCGUGAAGUGCUAAUGUAGAGCAGGCUGAGGACUCUGUGAUGUUAGUGGAGGGUGGCAGAUUGUGGCUAUUGGAACUGUUAAUUACACCUUGGUGGCUAAAGAAGCACAGUGGCCCUACAGGAUAGCUGCCCUCUAAACAAAUCCAGAAAGACAAUAGCUGAGGAGGAAAUAAACCUUACCUUUAUUAAGAUAGACUUUUCUGUGCAAUAUAAAUCAAUGUCUUUGUUGAUCUGUUGUUUAAUUCUGGACUAGGAUGUCAUAUCUGAUUUAGUCUGAUCUUUUCUCUUGGGCUGGCGAUGGAAGAGAAUCGACUGCGCCUGUGUGAUCAAUUUUCUGCUUGUGGACCAAUUUGCAUAAUCUGCUUUUCCUUGAGGGCAGAAGUUGUUUAGACUAAAUAAUUCAGAUAAAUUUGAUUUAGGCUUUCAGAAGCCCACAGAUAUUCUCAAUAUAAGCUUUUCUGCAGCAAUCAACCUCAGCGACUGGAUGAAUAAAGGAAAAGGGAAAGAAAGGCUGUCAAAAACUAGCUGCACAUUGGUAACAUGAACCAACAUACUCAUUUCCUCAGUAUUACAGAAAUUUUAGAGUCAGAAUAUAAUGUUGCUAAUAACGUCAAGAGUAACGUCAUCAUUGGGUGCCUUGCACAAUGCUGCCAUCUAUAGGAAGGAUUUGCAGUAGGCACAAGGGUGUGGAGCAAAUAUCACACCACCUCAUCAGGAUUUAGGAGAUGCUCUUCCGCUGUAACUAUAGCAACAGUCUUUCCCACACUCUAUUCAUUACCAAUGCAAAUUACUGGUAAGUUUGCUGGCAAAAAGUUGUAAAUCAAAGUACAACUAAUUUGUGUGCUAAUACCCACACCAGCAGUUACGCGUCCAGGACUUUGUCUGUGUUCAGUGAUAUUUGCAGCCAUAAACUGAGUAUAUAUAAGUACAGAUAUACAUUUA
rnacentral:lncRNA from 1 species